GUCUGGAAAAUAAUCUGGGCAGUAUUGAUGGGACAGUACUCCAGCCGGUGUAUCAUCCCAGCACAGCCAUCCAUCCCAGUUUGACUUGGAGACGAUCAUGUCCCAAGACAUUCUAAAUAAAUUCAUAAAACCCAACUUCUAUGUUAAAAAUCCUGUGUGGCAGAAAUGAACUAUGACACUAAAGAAAAUACCACGCUGUGAAGCUGUGACUCAGCUAAACCAUAAUGAAGAUCUAUGCCAGACAGUGAAACUCCACCAUGGAUCAGCAUGGGCCAUCAGGCCGUAUUUGAAGACCAUCAUUUUAAAGGCUACGUGGGACGUGGAAAAAUCAUGGAAGGGUAGCAAACA